GAUGAACGCUGGCGGCAUGCCUAAUACAUGCAAGUCGAACGAGAGGAAGGAAAGCUUGCUUUUCUGAAUCUAGUGGCGAACGGGUGAGUAACACGUAGGUAACCUGCCCAUGUGCCCGGGAUAACUUCUGGAAACGGAUGCUAAAACCGGAUAGGUAGCAGACAAGCAUUUGACUGCUAUUAAAGUGGCUAAGGCCAUGAACAUGGAUGGACCUGCGGUGCAUUAGCUAGUUGGUGAGGUAACGGCCCAGCAAGGCGACGAUGCAUAGCCGGCCUGAGAGGGCGGACGGGCACAUUGGGACUGAGACCCGGCCCAAACUCCUACGGGAGGCAGCAGGAGGGAAUUUUCGUCAAUGGGGGGAACCCUGAACGAGCAAUGCCGCGUGAGUGAGGAAGGUCUUCGGAUCGUAAAGCUCUGUUGUAAGAGAAAAACGACAUUCAUAGGGAAUGAUGAGUGAGUGAUGGUAUCUUACCAGAAAGUCACGGCUAACUACGUGCCAGCCGCCGCCGUAACAC
rnacentral:rRNA from 1 species